AGAGUUUGAUCCUGGCUCAGAUUGAACGCUGGCGGCAGGCCUAACACAUGCAAGUCGAGCGGUAACAGGGGAAGCUUGCUUCCCGCUGACGAGCGGCGGACGGGUGAGUAAUGUAUGGGGAUCUGCCGAAUGGAAUGGGACAACAGUUGGAAACGACUGCUAAUACCGUAUAAUGUCGCGAGACCAAAGUGUGGGACCUUCGGGCCACAUGCCAUUUGAUGAACCCAUAUGGGAUUAGCUAGUAGGUGGGGUAAUGGCUCACCUAGGCGACGAUCUCUAGCUGGUCUGAGAGGAUGACCAGCCACACUGGAACUGAGACACGGUCCAGACUCCUACGGGAGGCAGCAGUGGGGAAUAUUGCACAAUGGGGGAAACCCUGAUGCAGCCAUGCCGCGUGUAUGAAGAAGGCCUUAGGGUUGUAAAGUACUUUCAGUUGGGAGGAAGGCGUUGAUGCUAAUAUCAUCAGCGAUUGACGUUACCAACAGAAGAAGCACCGGCUAACUCCGUGCCAGCCGCCGCGGUAAUUC
rnacentral:rRNA from 1 species